rnacentral:rRNA from 1 species
UUGACCUCGGAUCAGGUAGGACUACCCGCUGAACUUAAGCAUAUCAAUAAGCGGAGGAAAAGAAACCAACAGGGAUUGCCCCA